UGCUCCUUGUGUUUUGGCUAACUAAUCCCAAGUUCGAGCCUUCAUGUGGAUUUUUCGCUAUUUAAUUUUUUAGCUAUUUAAUUUUUUAAAACCCUAGUAGCAUCAUAUAAAUACCACAUUUUAUCUUCUCUUCUCUUUUCUUCAAUCGCCUCCAUCUCUAAUUUUCUCUCUAAGUCUCUAGACUUCUCACCAAGGCCAAUUCCGAGCUCUCCUCUCACCAGAAGAAUAUCUUCAAGGUCGACGACCACAUCGGCGUUGCCAUUGCCGAACUAUCCGUCGACGGCCAUGUUCUCUCUCGGUACAUGCAAACUGAGGCCUUUAAUCACUCCUUCACUUACGAGUCUCCUCUCCCCAUUGGCCAACUCGUCGUUCAACUCACAGAUAAGGCUCUUAGGUCCUCAUUUUUUCCCGCUUUCUUUGUUUGCUUUUUACUGUGGUAAUUUGUUGAAUAUUGCUUGUGUAAGAUUGCGGAAGCUAGGGUUUUAGCGAUUUUGAGUUGUUUAUGAGUGAUUGGAUUAUGGAAGCUUUAGGGUUUUGGAUUUGGAGUAACGAGUGAACUUGGUUACUGAGAGAAUGCUUAAGAUCUUGAAUUUAAGUGAUAUUGGGGAUUUAGAUUGAGUUUUUGUUAAUUUCUUUAUAUUUUCGUAUUGAAAAUUUAUGGUUAAACUCAGUUUUCUGUGUGUGGAGAUUAAUUUUUUUUUAAGGUUGGCAUCUCACUUGUUCUUUGCUUGCCUUUUGUGAUUUGUAUCAUUCCACCUAAAGCCAAGGCCUGUACUCUCUCUGCAAUCAUUUUGUAUUUUUUUUUUGGUUGUUUCAAACUUGCAAUCAUGCACAGGUGUCUUUUGGCUGUUGCGAAUUGGGAUGACGUGCAAUUUCACACAUAUAAAUAAUACUUUCUAGGUUGGUUUGUGGGUUUUUUAUUUUAUUUUAAAUUUAUUUAUUGCAUAAUCUAGUUUACAAGUUACAUCAAUGUUUGGAAUGGUGGAAACGCCAACCGAAAACAUGUGGUUUGUCCUCACUUUAAAUGCAUCUAACAUUCAAUCAACAAAUAAAUUUUUUUUUUUAAUAUAUAAUCUCGGCAAGAAAUGCUUGGUCUAGGAAGUGUUCAAUGUUUAAGUUUGAGAACCUAGGACCUUCUUAAAAGAAUAGAAGUCUUAGAGAAUUUAAGAGGGAAGUCCCAAAUCUCUUGUUCCUAGGGUCAGUUAUUUAUUGGGUUGUUGUUUAUAUUUCUUUCCCUUUUAUAAUCUUUUAAUAAGAAAUCCAACUUUUCAUUCUUUUUUGAUUUAGUUUGUGAUGACUGGUGGUAUGCUUUCAAAAUAUACUGAAUGAUCUUAUCAUGUGCUAUAAAAAGCAUAGUAUAAAAAUUGAGUUUAAAUGAAUUUGAGACGUAUUAUUUACAAUGGCUUAUUUGUUUAUGUAACUUUUUUAAAGUUUUACUUUUUAAAAUAUAAUUAUACUUCAAUCAACGUUCAAUAAAAAUAGUUAAUUAAAUCACCCAUUUAAAUGAGGAAUUAAAGUUGAAAGUCAGAAAUUUUGUAGAUUUUCAUUUACAUAAUUUUCUCAACAACCAAAUUUAAUGUUUAUUAUUUUCUAAUCUCUAAGGGAUUUUGUUGAUUCAAAUGAAGAUGGGGUAAAGUUUGUGGAAUUGUCUAAAAAUGCAAAUGUUGUUCCACUCUAUCGAUGCAUAUUCUCUAAUCAUCUUACUCUGGUUCUAGCAUAUCAGUGCUUGGUUGAGAAGACAAUUGAGAGGCUCCAAGUUUUCUUUUUGAGUCAAUGUAGCCACAUCCUGUUGUUUCUAGAAUUGGAGGGUAUAGUGUAGUUGGAGCUCAACCAACAAUGGAAAUUGUUGCAAAAGAAAACAAGGUAACGAUAAUGGACCAUGAGGAAAGGAGUUUGACUAAAGAGUUGGUUGAAGAUCCAAUGGUGAUUACUAGAAGAAUCUCAAAGGGCUGGAAACCUCAACUUAUUGAUGAACUCCUAGACACAUUCUAUGAUAAGAAAACUUUGUUGUUGACCUAUACAUGUUUCUUAAUAAAAUCUUGUUAGGUAUGCUUGGAUAUCAUAACUUCAUGAGUUAUUUAAAUUUGGCUCUUGAGUCUUGACCA